GACGAACGCUGGCGGCGUGCCUAACACAUGCAAGUCGAGCGGGGAUUUAAGUGGAAGUUCUUCGGAAUGGAGAUUUAAAUUCUAGCGGCGGACGGGUGAGUAACGCGUGAACAAUCUGUCCCGGACAGGGGGAUAACACUUGGAAACAGGUGCUAAUACCGCAUAAGACCACGGCCUCGCAUGGGGCUGAGGUAAAAGGAGCAAUCCGGUUCGGGGUGAGUUCGCGUCCGAUUAGCUAGUUGGUGAGGUAACGGCCCACCAAGGCGACGAUCGGUAGCCGGCCUGAGAGGGUGAACGGCCACAUUGAAACUGAGAGACGGUCCAAACUCCUACGGGAGGCAGCAGUGGGGAAUAUUGGGCAAUGGGCGAAAGCCUGACCCAGCAACGCCGCGUGAGGGAAGAAGGUUUUCGGAUUGUAAACCUCUGUCCUAUGGGACGAAGGAAGUGACGGUACCAUAGGAGGAAGCCCCGGCUAACUACGUG
rnacentral:rRNA from 1 species